rnacentral:rRNA from 1 species
AACGAACGCUGGCGGCAUGCCUAACACAUGCAAGUCGAACGAGACCUUCGGGUCUAGUGGCGCACGGGUGCGUAACGCGUGGGAAUCUGCCCUUGGGUUCGGAAUAACUCAGAGAAAUUUGAGCUAAUACCGGAUGAUGACGAAAGUCCAAAGAUUUAUCGCCCAGGGAUGAGCCCGCGUAAGAUUAGCUUGUUGGUGGGGUAAUGGCCUACCAAGGCGACGAUCUUUAGCUGGUCUGAGAGGAUGAUCAGCCACACUGGGACUGAGACACGGCCCAGACUCCUACGGGAGGCAGCAGUGGGGAAUAUUGGACAAUGGGCGAAAGCCUGAUCCAGCAAUGCCGCGUGAGUGAUGAAGGCCUUAGGGUUGUAAAGCUCUUUUACCAGGGAUGAUAAUGACAGUACCUGGAGAAUAAGCUCCGGCUAACUCCGUGCCAGCCGCCGCUGUAAUAC